GUCCUCAUUUUCACUUUCUGUUUCUCACACCAGAGAAACAAUGUGGUAUUUAAACAUGAAUCAAUACCUAUACCUGAAGAGGAAUCAAAUCAAUAAUGUCUUUCAGGAGAACAAUAACAAGAACUUGAUUCUCUAUUUGAUGAAGAGAUGGAAUAAAUGGAUGAAAAAACACAUUUACUGAUUGGUCUGAUAAAGGUUGAGAUUAUGAAAUUGAUGACCGGGAUUUAAACAGGACUUUGAUUGUAACUCAGACACCUUAUAUGAGAAAACUUCUGGAGGAGACUGAAUAGGAAACCACAUGUCUUAGACAAAACUUACAUGAGAAGUUGUUGAAGUUAAUAAUGGCUCAUAUUACUAUGAGGAGGAUCUAUGGAUGGAUGGAAGAUGAAAAACACAGCCAUAAAGGGAUCCAGCUCAGGACCUUGCCCUUGAACAGCAGGUGCUGGAACCACUGAGCUAAAUCCCUGGCCCCUUAACAUGUAAAUCUUACAUCUGCAUUGCUGGUGUGUAUAAUAUACAUUUGCAACUGCU
ensembl:lncRNA